AAUUUAAAAAUUAUACUUUUAAUUCAAAUUUAAAUUUUUAAUUAAAAUUUAAAUUUUAAAUUAUUUUAAAAAUAAAAUUUAGUAAAAAUAUUAAUAUAUGCAAAAUCAAAAAUUUUUUGCCAAAUAGUUUUAGAAAAUCACUUCAGAAAAAUCACUUUUUUUUAAAUUCAACCAAACGCUCUACAUCUUUUCACCAAAAUCAAUUCUCCAAACUAAAAUCACUUCUACAUAAAUCACUUCUCCAGAAGCUAGGCCAAAUAGUGCAAUCGCUGCAGGUGCACAUUUUUUAUUUUUCUUUUAUUUAUAAAAUAUAGGCUAAAUUACAGAAAAUCCACCCACAGUAAAUAUCCAUUUUUUUUACUUUUUUUCUAUCAUUUAAAAACCUACACUUUAUCCCUUUAAAAAUAAAAAAUAUAAACAGAAGAUACACUGUGACAAAAUAACCAAAUUGUCCAUCAUCUUCUUCGGGAUGGCCAUGGACGGAGAGGCGGGCGAGGGCGAUGGUGAGGCGACAGAGGCAGGUGAGGGCGUGUGUGUGGGCACGAACAGAGAGGUGGGCAAGGGCCAGGCGACGGAGGGCGAGGCGGCGCGGCGGAGGGAGGCAGCACGGCCGAGGAUGAAAAAGGAGGAGGAUUUCAAAAGUAUUUUGGGUAUAAAAAAUAGGAUAUAAACGGACCCUAACGGGACAUUGACAGCGGGAUUAAAGUGAACAUUUUUCAUUUUUUAAGGGAGCAAAGUGUAGGUUUUUGAAUGACAGGGAGAAGAAAGUAAAAAAAGGGUAUUUAGAGAGAGGUUUUUUGUAAUUUAGCCUAAAAUAUAAUAAUAGUAUUAAUGUGUGGGCAUAAAUAUUCAAAAAUAGAGAUUAGCUACAAAAUAAUAUGAAAAAAGUGAUAACGAGUCGAUCAAGCCGAGGCACGAAAUCUCGUUCUCUUUAUUCUAAGUCCUCUGCGGUUGCCAAAACUUUUGAACUGAUGCAGCAAAAUACUGACUUAUUCCUUUCAGGAUAAAAUGGCUCGACUUUUGUUGUGUGGUUUCACCAACUCUGCACAAGUAGAUGAGCCCAAAGCUAUACAAAAAAAUACAUUUUUAUCCUCUCUCUUAA
rnacentral:lncRNA from 1 species